rnacentral:rRNA from 1 species
UACGAAGGGUGCAAGCGUUAAUCGGAAUUACUGGGCGUAAAGCGCGCGUAGGCGGUUUGGUAAGUGUGAUGUGAAAGCCCCGGGCUCAACCUGGGAAUUGCCUCACAUACUGCCAGGCUAGAGUACGGUAGAGGGGGGUAGAAUUCCACGUGUAGCGGUGAAAUGCGUAGAGAUGUGGAGGAAUACCAGUGGCGAAGGCGGCCCCCUGGAUCGAUACUGACGCUGAGGUGCGAAAGCGUGGGGAGCAAACAGGAUUAGAAACCCCCGUAGUCC